GACGUAGGGCGCGAGCGUUGUCCGGAUUUAUUGGGCGUAAAGAGUUCGUAGGCGGCUUGUUGCGUCGUCCGUGAAAACCUGUGGCUCAACUACAGGCUUGCGGUCGAUACGGGCGGGCUGGAGUUCGGUAGGGGAGACUGGAAUUCCUGGUGUAGCGGUGAAAUGCGCAGAUAUCAGGAGGAACACCGGUGGCGAAGGCGGGUCUCUGGGCCGAUACUGACGCUGAGGAGCGAAAGCGUGGGGAGCGAACAGG
rnacentral:rRNA from 1 species